UACGGGGGGAGCAAGCGUUGUUCGGAUUUACUGGGCGGAAAGGGCGCGUAGGCGGCCAGCACAAGUCAGUUGUGAAAUCUCCGAGCUUAACUCGGAACGGUCAACUGAUACUGUGCGGCUAGAGUGCGGAAGGGGCAACUGGAAUUCUUGGUGUAGCGGUGAAAUGCGUAGAUAUCAGGAGGAACACCGAUGGCGAAGGCAGGUCUCUGGGCCACUACUGACGCUGAGAAGCGAAAGCAUGGGGAGCGAACAGG
rnacentral:rRNA from 1 species